UCCCUGGUGGCUCAGACGGUAAAGCGUCUGCCUACAAUGCUGGAGACCUGGGUUCAAUCCCUAGGUCGGGAA
rnacentral:tRNA from 1 species